GGUUUUUGUGGUGAAGAGGAAAGUCAGACAUGUAGAGCUGCCAAUUUUCUACCUGAAGUAAACACAAAUCUUACUCUUUCUUGAUCAUGAAACUGAAAGCUUUAUGCCUUUCUCUGCCUCCUUAUAGCAGGCUAUGAUGUAGAUGAGGGAAAAUGUGGCAUUCAUGAGUAGCUAAACAAUCCUGUGAAUCACGGUUGUGUGAGAAGAUGUUGGAUGGCUUCCUCAGUUUGAAUGGAAAUUAUUAACUGUUCUUGUGUUGGCUUUAAUCAACUUGACUGCAAUUGAAGUGGCAUGACUGCAUGGAGGGAGGCAGUUUGUGGAUGAUUUAUCAUCUAAUUUCAAGAGAAACCAUGGCUUUGAAGUUUUACGUCAUACGCUGGAACUGUGAAAAGCCUCAAGCGAGAUGAAGAGGGAAAGUGCCGCGGAUUUUCCAGGGAUUUAGAGCCGAACGCUACACGGUGCGGGAAGCACGACAAUCUCAAUAUGAGUACGCAAGCUUCAACUUUAAUGGAGUACUUCACAACAUAUAUAGAAACUGAGUUACACCUGGCAAACUGCCAUUGGUGGGGCUACCCCAGCCCCAUCCUCUGAUUGGUGAUUACAACUUGUUGAACAAACAAAACCAAACAGCAACCACCCCCCCCCUGUGCCCAACAGUUAACCUCCUGAUACUUCUGUCCUUGGGCUCCGCCCCACCCAAGGACCCCUAGGCCCUGCCGACCGUCCACCUGGAACUACUCCAUACACACACUCUGCAGUACUUCCUUGCUCGUACAGUCGCUCGAGUCAUGGCCACCCUGAUCCCUCAACAGGAAAGGGCAGGAAACGCUGAUGGCAGAUCAGAAAAGGAAAUUCUAAAAUACUGACUGCUCUAAAAUCUGACUGCUCUGUACUAUAUCUGCCCUGUUACUUUACAAUACCAAAAUAUCAAAAGAAAUGCCAGUAUAUCUUCACAGAGAUAGCAACAAGAUUUUCUGUGAAGUUUACAGAAGGAAAAAUACUCCACGAUAUGUCUGAUAGAGUCAGAAACUGAAUAUAGGUAAAAUCCAUUCAAGCACACUUUAGCUUAUUUCUUAAUAUUUCUAGAAAUUCUGCUAUUCAAAUAUAACUAAUCUACCACAAUUUCAUGUGAGAUUAAUAAGAAAUUGUAAUAGAGGAUAAGGAGGC
rnacentral:lncRNA from 1 species